rnacentral:tRNA from 1 species
GGAGUUGUGGCUCAGUGGUAGAGCACUUGCCUGGCAUGUAUGAGGCCCUGGGUUUGAUCCCCAGAAUCACA